GAUGAACGCUGGCGGCGUGCCUAAUACAUGCAAGUCGAGCGAACGGACGAGAAGCUUGCUUCUCUGAUGUUAGCGGCGGACGGGUGAGUAACACGUGGAUAACCUACCUAUAAGACUGGGAUAACUUCGGGAAACCGGAGCUAAUACCGGAUAAUAUUUUGAACCGCAUGGUUCAAAAGUGAAAGACGGUCUUGCCGUCACUUAUAGAUGGAUCCGCGCUGCAUUAGCUAGUUGGUAAGGUAACGGCUUACCAAGGCAACGAUGCAUAGCCGACCUGAGAGGGGGAACGGCCACACUGGAAAUGAGAAACGGUUCAAACUCCCACGGGGAGGAGGAGGAGGGAAUCUUCCGCAAAGGGGGGAAGCCUGACGGGACAAACGCCGGGGGGGGGUUAAGGGUCUUCGAUUGGAAAACCUCUUUUUUUGGGAAAAAAAAUAUGGGAAAUAAACUGGGACAAUUUUAAGGGAACUAAUAAAAAAGCCCCGGGUAAAUUCCGU
rnacentral:rRNA from 1 species